rnacentral:rRNA from 1 species
CCGAAGUUUCUCUCAGGAUAGCGGCCCGACGCGUUGUUGUCAUGUGCGGUAAAGCGAAUGAUUAGCGCACUCGGGGACUUCUAGUCUUCGGGCGAUUCUCAAACUUUAAAUGCGCAUGAUGAUGGUGCUGUUUAUUUAAGCAGUUUCGUUAGAAACGUUGGGUUCGUGGGCCACUUUUGGUAAGCAGAACUGGCGAUACGGGAUGAACCGUAAGUGUGGUUAAGGCGUCAAAUUGCACGCUUAUAGACCCCAAAAAAGGUGUUGAUUCAUCGAGACAGCAGGACGGUGGCCAUGGAAGUCGGAAUCCGCUAAGGAGUGUGUAACAACUCACCUGCCGAAUGAAUUAGCCCUGAAAAUGGAUGACGCUGAAGCGAGCAGCCACACCACACCGUCUGACCAAAAUUGGUAGUCCAGAUGAGUAGGAGGACGUGGCGGUUGUAUCGAAGCGUACGGGCAACUGUGCGUGGAACGGCCGCUAGUGCAGAUCUUGGUGGUAGUAGCAAAUAUUCAAGUGAGAUCCUUGAAGGGCGAAGCGGGGAAGGGUUCCACGCGAACAUUGAUUGAGCGUGGGUGAGUCGUUCCUAAGCCGCGUGGUGAUUGCUAAUUACCGGCGAAAGGGAAGCAGGUUGACAUUCCUGCACACGGAUGUGGAGGCGGCGACGCCCUACUGGGGAGGUUACGUUGGCGGUGGCUCUGGGCAGAGUUUUCUUUUCUGUUUAACCGUCCAUCGCGCUGUGUGGAAUCCGCUUGUCGGGAGAAACACGCGUGUGCGGGCAUAGCGCCGGGGCUUUUCCGGCGUCCAGAUCGCCACCGACGACCCUUGAAACACCUCCUGCUGGGCAAGGCGCUUGCGCUUUGUUUGAACAAUCCACGCCGUAACGUACCCAUAACCGCAUCAGGUCCCCAAGGUGAACAGCCUCUGCUCAAUAUGAUCAAUGCAGGUAAGGGAAGUCGGCAAAUUAGACCCGUAACUUUGGGAAAAGGGUUGGCUCUAGUGCUGCGUGGGAGUGGUCUGCUGUCGUUGGCUGCGUGUGUCUGGUUUUUCUGUGCGGUGAGGGCGCCCCCCCGGGGGUACUUUUACUGUCGGUGGACUGUGACGCGCGUGUCGCGGCAGCCGGCGCCCACAGCAUGCAGCAAACUAGAACUGCAACGGGCAAAGGGAAUCCGACUGUUUAAUUAAAACAAAGCAUUGCGAAGGCCGUGGCCGGUGAUGACGCAAUGUGAUUUCUGCCCAGUGCUC